GACGAACGCUGGCGGCGUGCUUAACACAUGCAAGUCGAACGGAAAGGCCCUGCUUUUGUGGGGUGCUCGAGUGGCGAACGGGUGAGUAACACGUGAGUAACCUGCCCUUGACUUUGGGAUAACUUCAGGAAACUGGGGCUAAUACCGGAUAGGAGCUCCUGCUGCAUGGUGGGGGUUGGAAAGUUUCGGCGGUUGGGGAUGGACUCGCGGCUUAUCAGCUUGUUGGUGGGGUAGUGGCUUACCAAGGCUUUGACGGGUAGCCGGCCUGAGAGGGUGACCGGCCACAUUGGGACUGAGAUACGGCCCAGACUCCUACGGGAGGCAGCAGUGGGGAAUAUUGCACAAUGGGCGGGAGCCUGAUGCAGCAACGCCGCGUGCGGGAUGAGGGCCUUCGGGUUGUAAACCGCUUUCGCCUGUGACGAAGCGUGAGUGACGGUAAUGGGUAAAGAAGCACCGGCUAACUACGUG
rnacentral:rRNA from 1 species